UCUGGCAUAGUGAGUAAAUUAGAUUUAUUAGUUUUAGCCCAAAGUUUCUAAGGUUUCAUUACUCUAAGCAGCUUCAAGAUAUAUCCCAACCCCACCCCCACACUGACAAAAUAGACACACAUUUUUAAAAGGCUAUGAGACUUUAGUCCUAUUCAAUCCACUAAAAAUAAACAAUUUAAGGUCUGACAGAGACAAAAGCUUACACAUAGUAAAUUCACUACAGAAGCUCUACACAUUUGGGAAAUUUAUUAAUACAAUUCAACCAAUUAUAAUUUUUUACAUUAUAUUUCAGAGAUUUAUUGAGAAAGUCAUCAAAUAUAUGAAAAUAUCAAAACAUCCCUCUAAACAGUCAUUUCUACCAGAUUACUAAUCUUAAUUUACUUUCUUUAAUAAUGAUGUCUAUUUCUAGAAACAGUUAUGUUAUUCAGAUCAACCUCUACAAUGAAAGCAACUAAGUAAUGAUAGUUUGUUUUUUUUAAAAAAAAUCACUAAAAGCAUUGAAAAGCUGCCAAGAAAGUAAUCCCUAGGCUAAAACUGAAAGAAAAGUGGGAACCCGGACAGUCAAGUAGAAGACAAAAGUCAUUUUUGCCCUGAAAACAUUUGCCAACACAAGAAUAUAUGAACUUUGGUUCUGAUGGUAUCAUAAGGGAAUGGAUCAGAAAUCAGGUCCUAG
rnacentral:lncRNA from 10 species